GAUGAACGCUGGCGGCGUGCUUAACACAUGCAAGUCGAACGGAAAGGCCCCUGCUUGCAGGGGUACUCGAGUGGCGAACGGGUGAGUAACACGUGGGUGAUCUGCCCUGCACUUCGGGAUAAGCCUGGGAAACUGGGUCUAAUACCGGAUAGGACGAUGGUUUGGAUGCCAUUGUGGAAAGUUUUUCGGUGUGGGAUGAGCUCUCGGCCUAUCAGCUUGUUGGUGGGGUAAUGGCCUACCAAGGCGUCGACGGGUAGCCGGCCUGAGAGGGUGUACGGCCACAUUGGGACUGAGAUACGGCCCAGACUCCUACGGGAGGCAGCAGUGGGGAAUAUUGCACAAUGGGCGCAAGCCUGAUGCAGCGACGCCGCGUGGGGGAUGACGGCCUUCGGGUUGUAAACUCCUUUCGUCAGGGACGAAGCGAAAGUGACGGUACCUGGAUAAGAAGCACCGGCUAACUACGUG
rnacentral:rRNA from 1 species